UACAGAGGUCUCAAGCGUUGUUCGGAUUCAUUGGGCGUAAAGGGUGCGUAGGCGGCGCGGUAAGUCGGUUGUGAAAUCUCGGAGCUUAACUCCGAAACUGCAUUCGAUACUGCCGUGCUUGAGGACUGGAGAGGAGACUGGAAUUUACGGUGUAGCGGUGAAAUGCGUAGAUAUCGUAAGGAAGACCAGUGGCGAAGGCGGGUCUCUGGACAGUUCCUGACGCUGAGGCACGAAGGCCAGGGGAGCAAACGGG
rnacentral:rRNA from 1 species